rnacentral:lncRNA from 1 species
UGCGGCCGCCGAGGCCUACAUGUCACAGCCAACGCCGACGCCAUCCGCCACUCUCAUUUGAACCUCCACUACCUCGGUCAGAUUCUGAACAUCAAAAAGCAGAGUGUCUGCGUGGUGCAUUUGAGGAACUCGGGGACGUUGGGCAACCCAAGCUCUCUAGACGAGACAGCUUAUGAAAGACUUGCGGAAGAGACACUGGACGCCCUGGCAGAAUUCUUUGAAGACCUUGCAGACAAGCCCUACACCCUGAAGGACUAUGAUGUCUCUUUUGGGGUGGCCCCAAGCGCUAUGACUGGACCGGGAAGAACUGGGUGUACUCCCAUGACGGCGUGUCUCUGCAUGAGCUGCUGGCCAGGGAGCUGACUGAAGCUUUAAACACCAAACUGGACUUGUCUUCAUUGGCCUAUUCUGGAAAGGGCACUUGACUGCUGUCCAGAUUCGAAAACAUUAAAAACUAUCAGGCAAAGACCCCAGCCUCCUUCUAUAGCUGAAUGUCUGGUUUCCCAUACCUGCUUCCGAAGAUAAUCACACUGUGUGCAACAACUCUGUGAAAAAAAGUGUGUUACCUCCCA